UACGUAGGGGGCGAGCGUUGUCCGGAGUACUGGGCGUAAAGCGCACGCAGGCGGUCUGCUAAGUUUGGAGUGACAGUUGGUGGCUUAACUGCCAAAGUGCUUCGAAAACUGACAGACUUGAGGGCUUCAGAAGGACACGGAAUUCCGGGUGGAGUGGUGAAAUGCGUAGAGAUCCGGAGGAACACCAAAGGCGAAGGCAGUGUCCUGGGGAGACCUG
rnacentral:rRNA from 1 species